rnacentral:rRNA from 1 species
GGGUUGUGAGGUUAAGCGACUAAGCGUACACGGUGGAUGCCCUGGCAGUCAGAGGCGAUGAAGGACGUGCUAAUCUGCGAUAAGCGUCGGUGAGGUGAUAUGAACCGUUAUAACCGGCGAUUUCCGAAUGGGGAAACCCAGUGUGUUUCGACACACUAUCAUUAACUGAAUCCAUAGGUUAAUGAGGCGAACCGGGGGAACUGAAACAUCUAAGUACCCCGAGGAAAAGAAAUCAACCGAGAUUCCCCCAGUAGCGGCGAGCGAACGGGGAGGAGCCCAGAGCCUGAAUCAGUGUGUGUGUUAGUGGAAGCGUCUGGAAAGGCGUGCGAUACAGGGUGACAGCCCCGUACACAAAAAUGCACAUAUUGUGAGCUCGAUGAGUAGGGCGGGACACGUGGUAUCCUGUCUGAAUAUGGGGGGACCAUCCUCCAAGGCUAAAUACUCCUGACUGACCGAUAGUGAACCAGUACCGUGAGGGAAAGGCGAAAAGAACCCCGGCGAGGGGAGUGAAAAAGAACCUGAAACCGUGUACGUACAAGCAGUGGGAGCCUCUUAAUGGGGUGACUGCGUACCUUUUGUAUAAUGGGUCAGCGACUUAUAUUCUGUAGCAAGGUUAACCGAAUAGGGGAGCCGAAGGGAAACCGAGUCUUAACUGGGCGUUAAGUUGCAGGGUAUAGACCCGAAACCCGGUGAUCUAGCCAUGGGCAGGUUGAAGGUUGGGUAACACUAACUGGAGGACCGAACCGACUAAUGUUGAAAAAUUAGCGGAUGACUUGUGGCUGGGGGUGAAAGGCCAAUCAAACCGGGAGAUAGCUGGUUCUCCCCGAAAGCUAUUUAGGUAGCGCCUCGUGAAUUCAUCUCCGGGGGUAGAGCACUGUUUCGGCAAGGGGGUCAUCCCGACUUACCAACCCGAUGCAAACUGCGAAUACCGGAGAAUGUUAUCACGGGAGACACACGGCGGGUGCUAACGUCCGUCGUGAAGAGGGAAACAACCCAGACCGCCAGCUAAGGUCCCAAAGUCAUGGUUAAGUGGGAAACGAUGUGGGAAGGCCCAGACAGCCAGGAUGUUGGCUUAGAAGCAGCCAUCAUUUAAAGAAAGCGUAAUAGCUCACUGGUCGAGUCGGCCUGCGCGGAAGAUGUAACGGGGCUAAACCAUGCACCGAAGCUGCGGCAGCGACACUAUGUGUUGUUGGGUAGGGGAGCGUUCUGUAAGCCUGUGAAGGUGGCCUGUGAGGGUUGCUGGAGGUAUCAGAAGUGCGAAUGCUGACAUAAGUAACGAUAAAGCGGGUGAAAAGCCCGCUCGCCGGAAGACCAAGGGUUCCUGUCCAACGUUAAUCGGGGCAGGGUGAGUCGACCCCUAAGGCGAGGCCGAAAGGCGUAGUCGAUGGGAAACAGGUUAAUAUUCCUGUACUUGGUGUUACUGCGAAGGGGGGACGGAGAAGGCUAUGUUGGCCGGGCGACGGUUGUCCCGGUUUAAGCGUGUAGGCUGGUUUUCCAGGCAAAUCCGGAAAACCAAGGCUGAGGCGUGAUGACGAGGCACUACGGUGCUGAAGUGACAAAUGCCCUGCUUCCAGGAAAAGCCUCUAAGCAUCAGGUAACAUCAAAUCGUACCCCAAACCGACACAGGUGGUCAGGUAGAGAAUACCAAGGCGCUUGAGAGAACUCGGGUGAAGGAACUAGGCAAAAUGGUGCCGUAACUUCGGGAGAAGGCACGCUGAUAUGUAGGUGAAGCGACUUGCUCGUGGAGCUGAAAUCAGUCGAAGAUACCAGCUGGCUGCAACUGUUUAUUAAAAACACAGCACUGUGCAAACACGAAAGUGGACGUAUACGGUGUGACGCCUGCCCGGUGCCGGAAGGUUAAUUGAUGGGGUUAGCGGUAACGCGAAGCUCUUGAUCGAAGCCCCGGUAAACGGCGGCCGUAACUAUAACGGUCCUAAGGUAGCGAAAUUCCUUGUCGGGUAAGUUCCGACCUGCACGAAUGGCGUAAUGAUGGCCAGGCUGUCUCCACCCGAGACUCAGUGAAAUUGAACUCGCUGUGAAGAUGCAGUGUACCCGCGGCAAGACGGAAAGACCCCGUGAACCUUUACUAUAGCUUGACACUGAACAUUGAGCCUUGAUGUGUAGGAUAGGUGGGAGGCUUUGAAGUGUGGACGCCAGUCUGCAUGGAGCCGACCUUGAAAUACCACCCUUUAAUGUUUGAUGUUCUAACGUUGGCCCGUAAUCCGGGUUGCGGACAGUGUCUGGUGGGUAGUUUGACUGGGGCGGUCUCCUCCUAAAGAGUAACGGAGGAGCACGAAGGUUGGCUAAUCCUGGUCGGACAUCAGGAGGUUAGUGCAAUGGCAUAAGCCAGCUUGACUGCGAGCGUGACGGCGCGAGCAGGUGCGAAAGCAGGUCAUAGUGAUCCGGUGGUUCUGAAUGGAAGGGCCAUCGCUCAACGGAUAAAAGGUACUCCGGGGAUAACAGGCUGAUACCGCCCAAGAGUUCAUAUCGACGGCGGUGUUUGGCACCUCGAUGUCGGCUCAUCACAUCCUGGGGCUGAAGUAGGUCCCAAGGGUAUGGCUGUUCGCCAUUUAAAGUGGUACGCGAGCUGGGUUUAGAACGUCGUGAGACAGUUCGGUCCCUAUCUGCCGUGGGCGCUGGAGAACUGAGGGGGGCUGCUCCUAGUACGAGAGGACCGGAGUGGACGCAUCACUGGUGUUCGGGUUGUCAUGCCAAUGGCACUGCCCGGUAGCUAAAUGCGGAAGAGAUAAGUGCUGAAAGCAUCUAAGCACGAAACUUGCCCCGAGAUGAGUUCUCCCUGACU